rnacentral:lncRNA from 1 species
AAGACCCUCUCAUAGCUUCGCCUUUGUCAUUCGUCAAUAUAUAUUGUUAAAAACUCACUCUCUUGUGGAAUUGCUUAAAGAGGUUUUCAUGUUUAAGCAAGGGAUACUGACUUAAUAGGGUAAGAUACUUUUUGAAAUGUACACAUUUAGUCCUUAUUUUUUUUUCUUGUAAAAUAAACCCUUAUACUUUAUUUUUUGUAACAAUGCAGUCCUUGUGACCGGCUAUACCCGGUAUAUCGGUCAUAUACGAAUUUUCUUUUAGGGAAAAUGACUUGAUAUGGUAAGAUACUUUUUGAAAUAUACACAUUUAGUCCUUAUUCUUUUUUUUUUUUGUAAAAUAAACCCUUAUACUUUAUUAAUAUGUACACAUUAGGUCAUUUUCACCGGAUUUUACAGGUUUUGCUGAUGUGGAAGCAUAAUUGGCACUUAAUUAGCUUAGUCAUCGGAGGUGGGUGAUCCUCCAGCAACAAGAAAAGGGCGGCGACCCUUCUCUUUCUCGUCUCUCUUCCUUCCAGUCGAACAACAACAACCAAACACCCUUUACAUGUUGUGUUUCUCCGACCUGUCUCUCUUUGCAUCCAUCUUUGAGAUAUGUUACCAGAAAAGAAGAAAGAAUCGAUGAAGGGGCUACCAGAGCAGCUCCUCGCAGCCAACUACCGUCUCUACUUCCUCCUGCCUCCCCCUUCGACCUUGUUGUUUUUGCCAUCAUUCCUCCUUGCUACCCAUGAUGUGUAGGAAUACACAAAGGAGUCAUCAGAGAUCGGGGUUCUCCCUCUUUUUCAUGAUGAAUAAAAGUUGAAAAAAUCUCGUUGUGGAUAUGUGGAUGCCACCUGAGUAUUUCAUUUCAACAAAAU